rnacentral:misc_RNA from 1 species
UCAUCCACAAAUAACAGUGACACAACAAUAGAGUAGCGAGGCACAUCACAAGUAGAAGAGGAUGAGGAGAAGAUUAUGGAGGAAACGUUACCUUUAUCCGGCAGCGAACUUGAACUCUAGCUGCUGGAAACGAUUCCACAACGAUUAAUGGAUUCCAAUGAAGGAUCUUCGAUGAGAGCUUUUGAAAAGACGACAGGAACUCAGAGCUUCCCCUCCCAAGUAUGUUACUCUCUGUUUGUUAUUUAUAUGUUGUAAAAUCUAAAGAAAAUAGAGACCAACCCCUUCUCUGUUCUCUGCCUAUCAGUAAAAGAAAAAACCUUUCUAUCUCUCAGUUUUAUGUAAGCUAUCUCCAACCCCAAAAAAAACCUUUCUAUCUCUCAGUUUUAUGUAAGCUAUCUCCAACCCCAAAAAACAAAGACAAAACAGAUAAAUUCUUUCAUAAAUUAAGGGAGACACCUUUUCUGAAGUUUUCACCCCAUUCCGAAAGAGGAAGGGGGAACAAACGGCUGGAUCGAUUCCAUGUCCUUGGCGGAGCUACUUGGCUCAAUCUCGAGCCAAAGGAUGGAAUCGCGUGGCUUGCUACUGCUGCGACUGUACCGG